rnacentral:rRNA from 1 species
AUACGUAGGGGGCGAGCGUUGUCCGGAAUGAUUGGGCGUAAAGGGCGCGUAGGCGGCCCGGUAAGUCUGGAGUGAAAGUCCUGUUUUUAAGAUGGGAAUUGCUUUGGAUACUGUCGGGCUUGAGUGCAGGAGAGGUAAGUGGAAUUCCCAGUGUAGCGGUGAAAUGCGUAGAGAUUGGGAGGAACACCAGUGGCGAAGGCGACUUACUGGACUGUAACUGACGCUGAGGCACGAAAGUGUGGGGAGCAAACAGGAUUAGAUACCCUGGUAGUCCACACUGUAAACGAUGAAUGCUAGGUGUAGGGGGUAUCGACCCCUUCUGUGCCGCAGUCAACACAAUAAGCAUUCCGCCUGGGGAGUACGGCCGCAAGGUUGAAACUCAAAGGAAUUGACGGGG